CCGCGGCCGCCGAAAUGUACGGUGCUGUGGAAGGAGCUGCUGAGGCUGAAGAAGCAGAGGCCCAGUGUUUCGUCUCUUUCCCCAUCUUCCUCUUCGUCGUCGACUUCGUCGUGUUCGAGCUCGCUCGGUGAUGCGGCGACCAAGGAGGAAUCAGGGAAAGGAGAGAAAGACAACAAUAAGGAGAGCAAUAAGAAAGGGAACCA
rnacentral:lncRNA from 1 species